rnacentral:rRNA from 1 species
GACGAACGCCGGCGGCGUGCUUAACACAUGCAAGUCGAACGGAAAGGCCCUGCUUUUGUGGGGUGCUCGAGUGGCGAACGGGUGAGUAACACGUGAGUAACCUGCCCUUGACUUUGGGAUAACUUCAGGAAACUGGGGCUAAUACCGGAUAGGAGCUCCUGCUGCAUGGUGGGGGUUGGAAAGUUUCGGCGGUUGGGGAUGGACUCGCGGCUUAUCAGCUUGUUGGUGGGGUAGUGGCUUACCAAGGCUUUGACGGGUAGCCGGCCUGAGAGGGUGACCGGCCACAUUGGGACUGAGAUACGGCCCAGACCCCUACGGGAGGCAGCAGUGGGGAAUAUUGCACAAUGGGCGGAAGCCUGAUGCAGCAACGCCGCGUGCGGGAUGACGGCCUUCGGGUUGUAAACCGCUUUCGCCUGUGACGAAGCGUGAGUGACGGUAAUGGGUAAAGAAGCACCGGCUAACUACGUG